AAAAGAAUGGAAAUUGAGAAGUAGAAGCUCACCCCCACCUUUGUUAAUGGGUGGGCCAUUAAGGCAUGGGCCAGAGUAUUUUACAUAACAGAG